GCCCAGGUGGCGGAAUUGGUAGACGCGCUACUUUGAGGGGGUAGUGCCUGCAAGGGUGUGCAAGUUCGAGUCUUGUCCUGGGCAC
rnacentral:tRNA from 1 species